UGUCUUAAUUUUUUAUAAUAUUUUCAAAGGUGCCUGCAUAUCCUGGAGCUUCAAAGAUGUUUUGGAAUCUUACUGCACCAAAAUUCUCCAUUCCAGAAUCAACCAUGAGAGAAACUUUAUAUCCACAAUAUGAGAGUAUUCAGACAAGUAGAAUUUUAACUGAGAAACUUUCUGAAAGCAAGGAAAGUGUGAUUAUUUUAAAUACCUACACCAGAAGAAGUUUUCAGGUAUGUAUGACUUU
rnacentral:lncRNA from 1 species